AGCUUCACUGUGUGACGCGCUUUGUGACAAGCUGCCAGGGCCAGGAGCUGUAGCAGCUGCGCUUGAACUUGUGGCUGGCUGCAGUCCCUUGGAAAGGGAAGGGGCACAUCUGGAAGGCGGGUCUGAGUGCCCCAUGAAGCUCAGGCUGGCUUACCAACCCAAGCAAAGCCUGUAGCAAUUUCAAAACCUCAGGAUCCUUCCAAUUGCCUCAGUGAGCCUUGGAGAAGCCACAGACCUGAUACACAAGGCUGAACACGGGGACAGCAGCACUUCCUACUGGCCUCUCAUAGGCAGCUGGGGAAACCCCUUCUUCAUGCAGCAAGUCGGGAAGAUAUGGAUAUCCAACGAGGGGUCUGAAGGUAAUGUUGGUCCUGAGCUGAUCUCUGUACUUGAGCCUAGAGAAAUGUGGAAGCCAGCCUCUGGUUCUGCCCCAGAGAAGCUCUCACAUCUGUCCCUCACAGUCUGUGUCUGUGGCAGGUUACUUCCUCUUUGAACCUCAGUUUCCUUAUCUGUCAGAUGGAGCAAACAUGGGGACCUGCCAUGGGAGAACCCCAGCUCAUGCAGGUAGAAAUGUCAGCUCUAAGAUCCUGGGCCCCAUGCUACCCUCCCUGAGAUGCUGCUAUGUGAAUGUGGAGGGAAAGAAACAGAAGUUACUGCAUCUUACUCCAUCCUAAGAAAGGCUACAGUGGGCAGCCCUGAUUCCCUCCUGCUGUCCAGAACCUGAGAGCCCAGUAAAUUGGAGCCUAGGCCACUGUGGCCUUUGAAAGACAGACAGAAGACUUCCAGACACGCAGCAAAGAUAAGAAAGCUGCAAGGAUGCCAGAGGCCUCCCAACAUCCAAUCCAGACAGAGCCUUGUCUGAGGUAGAGGUUUCCAAUGAGUGAGCCCCAGGAAAUCUUAAGUCUUGGGGAUAUGGCAUACUAGCAGAGGGGCAACAAUCAGCUCCAGGGAGUAAAGAAAUUAAAAGCAGCCCUUGUUGUAGCUUGUGCCAAUUUGUAUGGUAUAAUCACUCCUGCCUUGGCUAAUGUCAUCACUGAAGGCAAAUUCAGGACCAGCAAAGCAUAGUCAACUGUCCUGAGCAGCAACAUCUCACACUCAAAGCAUAUGAGAACAGAUGGCUCUUCCCAUAAGAUUCUUGCUACCUGCCCAGAGGACCAAGAACAAACAGUGGCAUGUCUCGGCUGGAAGACAGAGGAGCAGAAGGGUUGUUGAGUGUUACAGGUUGGCUAGGAAAAGUCCCACACCGGCUUGUGUGUUUGAACACUUGCUCUCCAGCUCAUGGUGCUCUCUGGGAAGUUUCUGGAACCUUUUAAAGGUGAGGCUGUGGUGAUUUAAAGAAUAGUCCCCUUGGGCUCCUAUUUUGAAUACUUGGUAGAACUGUUUGGGGAGGAUUGGGAGGUGUGGCCUUGUUGGAGAAGAUGUAUCACUGGGGGUGGACUUUGAGGUUCUAAAAGACUCCCAGUGUUCUUCCUCUACCUCGUGGUUGUGGAUCAAAAUGUGAGCUGAUCUUCCCUCCUCCAUCACUCAUUGUAGUCCUCUGAAACCAUAAGCCAAAAUAAAUGUUUU
rnacentral:lncRNA from 1 species